CUUGACAGUUUUAGAUUUUAAGAACGUGCUUAUUGGUUUAAUUGGCCUGUUAAUGAGAAUUUGAAAUAAUUACGUAAGCUCGGUAUUUGUUUGGGCAUAAAAAUUCAAAACUAAAUUCAAAACUCGUUGAGCUAAGCUGAAAUGGGCGCGGCGAGGAAUGCCGAUCGCUUGGAAAGGCUCCUGAUCAUUGAUCGUCAAGUUUUAAAUCAUAAGUCAACAAUUUGUUUUCAUUUGUUAACAUCAAUAAUGGUCCUAAGCUAACGGAGAUCUCGUGUUUGAACAAUUAGUAAUUCUUUCAUUCUUGGAAAAAGUUUAAGUGGUAGUUUUAGUAAAACAUUUGUGCCAGUGAAUAAUUUUAUUUAUUUAUUUGUAACAAUUAAAUUAAAAAUUUAAAUAACUAAGAUGUCGAUUUUAAAGAAGAAGAUGACCUGCAUUAAAAUCGAUAAAGAUUCUGCAGGUCAAGUGAAACUCGAGUCCUUGAGCAAAAAAACCUUCGUUCACAGGUAAGGAGUUAUUUGCACAACUCCAGCGACUCGACUCAUUGUAGUGUAAUAUAAUACAGAAUAAGUGGCUGGUAGACGGAUGAAGGUGCUCAAGAAAAAGCUUUUAUCGAGGUAGAAAAUCGUAAAGAAUCUCGAGCUCGUGAGCCCUGCGACCCAGGACAUUAACCCGGUGCAAGGACGCCUAGCUUAAUCCAGGAAGCCGGCAAUUUUACAAGAUCCUCUAACCAGCCUACGAUCCUAGUUACUUUUUAUUAUUUUUGUUCUUUAUGCUCCUCGCCGUGUUCAGCCAGCAUUCCUCCCAGGAUAUUAUGCUACUCAGCCCAUUAAAACGCGCCUUAGUUGCCUCGCUCAGCAUACUGAUUUAUAUUAAUAUUAAUCAAUCCGCCAGACACUACUAUUAUUAUACUAAAAUAAUAAUUAAUAAAUUAUAAUACUAGAUAGCUAAAUUCAAUACCUGUAUUUGGGCGCGUUUGACCUCCGUGUAAAGCCAGUUAUCCGUGGAAAAUGCUAUUGCAAGAAGUGCCGUCGCGAUUAUGCCGGUUAUGGUCGCCAGAGAUAGUGUCACCGCCGAGCAAGGCAUUU